rnacentral:rRNA from 1 species
AUACGGAGGGUGCAAGCGUUGUUCGGAAUCACUGGGCGUAAAGGGCGCGCAGGCGGUUUGAUUAGUCAGAUGUGAAAGCCCACGGCUUAACCGUGGAAGUGCAUUUGAAACUGUCAGACUUGAGUAUCAGAGGGGUAAGUGGAAUUCCCGGUGUAGAGGUGAAAUUCGUAGAUAUCGGGAGGAAUACCGGUGGCGAAGGCGACUUUCUGGCUGAAUACUGACGCUGAGGCGCGAAAGCGUGGGGAGCAAACAGGAUUAGAAACCCCGGUAGUCC